rnacentral:lncRNA from 1 species
AUUUUCAGACAUGCAUACAACAAUGAGUUGUUCAAGAAUCACAUUGUCAUUCUCUCUCCUCUUCUCCCUUCUACUUUCUCUCUCAUCGCUACCUCCAACAACACAUCGUCUCACCAUGCAUUCAUUCAGUGCCUUGAAAACAAAUCCGGUUCAUCCAUUUCUGCAGUUCUCUACACUCGAAGCAAUUCCUCAUUGUUAGAAAUGAAUAUUGGGCAAAUUCCUCCCUUAAAAGACCUUGUAAGGGAGAGGGUUGCCUCACCAUAUAAAGUGGCUCAUGCCACUAUCUCCAAUCCAAUGUGGGACACUUCAAUACACCCCCC